rnacentral:rRNA from 1 species
AUUGAACGCUGGCAGAAUGCUUUACACAUGCAAGUCGAACGGCAGCACGGGGGCAACCCUGGUGGCGAGUGGCGAACGGGUGAGUAAUACAUCGGAACGUGCCCGGUCGUGGGGGAUAACGUAGCGAAAGUUACGCUAAUACCGCAUACGAUCUGAGGAUGAAAGCGGGGGACCUUCGGGCCUCGCGCGAUCGGAGCGGCCGAUGUCAGAUUAGGUAGUUGGUGGGGUAAAGGCCUACCAAGCCGACGAUCUGUAGCUGGUCUGAGAGGACGACCAGCCACACUGGGACUGAGACACGGCCCAGACUCCUACGGGAGGCAGCAGUGGGGAAUUUUGGACAAUGGGCGCAAGCCUGAUCCAGCCAUUCCGCGUGCAGGACGAAGGCCUUCGGGUUGUAAACUGCUUUUGUAUGGAACGAAAAGGCUCUGGCUAAUACCUGGGGCUCAUGACGGUACCGUAAGAAUAAGCACCGGCUAACUACGUG